rnacentral:rRNA from 1 species
CCUCACUGCUAUCGGGGUGGGACUAAAACAUGCAAGUCGAGCGCCUCCAAGCUAUGGUGAAGGCGCGGCAUACGGCUCAGUAACACGUGGCCAACCUACCCUUGGGACGGAGACAACCCCGGGAAACUGGGGCUAAUCCCCGAUAGGUAAGGAAUCCUGGAAUGGAUCUUUGCUGAAAGGGCGUCUAGACCAUGCUUCUUGACGUCGCCCAAGGAUGGAGCCGCGACCGAUCAGGUAGUUGGCGAGGCAACGGCUCACCAAGCCUAUAACCGGUACGGGCCGUGAGAGCGGGAGCCCGGAGAUGGGCACUGAGACAAGGGCCCAGGCCCUACGGGGCGCAGCAGUUGCGGAAACUCCACAAUGCACGAAAGUGCGAUGGGGCUACCCCGAGUGCCGUCCGCUGAGGACGGCUUUUCCACGGUGUAAGGAGCCGUGGGAAUAAGGAGAGGGCAAGACUGGUGUCAGCCGCCGCGGUAAUACCAGCUCUCCGAGUGGUGAGGACGAUUAUUGGGCUUAAAGCGUUCGUAGCCGGCUUAACAAGUCUUCCGUUAAAUCCAACGAUCUAAUCGUUGGGCCGCGGAAGAUACUGUUGGGCUAGGAGGCGGGAGAAGUCGACGGUAUUCUCGGGGUAGGGGUGAAAUCCUGUAAUCCCGGGAGGACCACCAGUGGCGAAGGCGGUCGGCUAGAACGCGCUCGACGGUGAGGGACGAAAGCUGGGGGAGCGAACCGGAUUAGAAACCCGGAUAGUCCCAGCUGUAAACGAUGCGGGCUAGGUGUUGGGGUGGCCAUGAGCCACCUCAGUGCCGCAUGGAAGCAAUUAAGCCCGCCGCCUGGGGAGUACGGCCGCAAGGCUGAAACUUAAAGGAAUUGGCGGGGGAGCACCACAAGGCGUGAAGCUUGCGGUUU